GAUGAACGCUGGCGGCGUGCCUAAUACAUGCAAGUCGAGCGAACAGACGAUGCUCUUGCACCUCUCACGUUAGCGGCGGACGUGUGUGUAACACGUGUAUAACCUCCCUAUAAGACUGGUAUAACUUCGGGAAACCGGCUCUAAUACCGUAUAAUCUAUUGCACCGCAUUGUUCAAUAGUGAAAUACGGUUUUUCUGUCUCUUAUAGCUGGUUCCCCGCCGCAUUAGCUAGUUGGUAAGGUAAUGGCUUACCAAGGCAACGAUGCGUAGCCGACGUGAGAGAGUGAUAGGCGACAUGAGAACGGAGACACGCACAAGACGACUAAGGGAGGCAGCAGUAGGGAAUGUGACGCAAUGGGGGAAAGCAUGACGGAGCAAGGCCGCGUGAGAGAUGAAGGCCUUGGGAGCGGAAAAAUGGGUUAUGAGGGAAAAACAGAUGUGGAAGGAAAUAAGGACGGAGUGACGGUAACGAAUCAGGAAGCAACGGCUAACUACGUG
rnacentral:rRNA from 1 species